rnacentral:RNase_P_RNA from 1 species
UAGGAAAAUCAUAUAUAUAAUAUAUUAUAUAUAAAUUAAUAUAUAAUAUACAUAUAUAUAUAUAUAUACAUAUAUAUAUAUAAUUAAUAUAUUUAAUAUUUAUAAUAAUUAAUAAUAAAAUAAUAAUUAUUAAUAAUAAUAAUAAAUAAUUAUAAAUUAUAUAAAAAUUAAUUAAUAUAUAUAUAUAUAUUAAAUAAAUAAUUAAUAAUAUUAAUAUAUUAUAAAUAGAAAUAUAUUUAUAUUAAUAAUUGAUAUAUAUAUAAAUUAUUAUAUAUAUCAUAUAUUUAUAUAAAUAAUAAAUAAAUAAUAAUAAUAUUGUUAUUAUAUAUAUUAUAUAUUAUAUAUUAUAUAAAAUAAUAAUUAAAUAUAAUUAUAUAAUUAUAUAAUUAUAAAUAAUUUAUUAAAUUAUAUAUAUAUAUAUAUAAUAAAUAAAUAAUAAUUAAAUUAUUAUUAAUAAUUGAAUAAUUGAAAAGAAUAUUAAUUAAUUAAUUAAUAAUUAAUAUAUAUAUAUAUAUAUUAUCAUUAUUAUUAUAUAAUUAAUAAUUAUAUUAUUUAUAAUAAUAAAUAAUUAUUAUAAUAUAUAAAUAUAAAAUAUUAUAUAUAUAAUUAUAUUAUAUAUAUAUAUUAUAUUAUAUAUAUAAAUAUAAAAUAUAAAAUAUUAUAUAUAUAAUUAAUAUAAUAAUAAUAAUAAAAUUAAAUUAUUAAUAUUAAUAAGUGUUAUAAAAUAUUAUAUAUAUUAUAAUAUAUAAUUAUUAUAUAUAUAAUUGAUAAAUAAUAAUUAAAUUAUAUUAUAAUAAUAAUAAUAACUAAAAUAUGGUUAA